GAUGAACGCUAGCUACAGGCUUAACACAUGCAAGUCGAGGGGCAGCGGGAUUGAAGCUUGCUUCAAUUGCCGGCGACCGGCGCACGGGUGAGUAACGCGUAUCCAACCUUCCGUACACUCAGGGAUAGCCUUUCGAAAGAAAGAUUAAUACCUGAUGGUAUGAUGAGAUUGCAUGAUAUCAUCAUUAAAGAUUUAUCGGUGUACGAUGGGGAUGCGUUCCAUUAGGUAGUAGGCGGGGUAACGGCCCACCUAGCCAUCGAUGGAUAGGGGUUCUGAGAGGAAGGUCCCCCACAUUGGAACUGAGACACGGUCCAAACUCCUACGGGAGGCAGCAGUGAGGAAUAUUGGUCAAUGGACGAGAGUCUGAACCAGCCAAGUAGCGUGAAGGAGGAAGGUCCUACGGAUUGUAAACUUCUUUUAUAAGGGAAUAAACCCUCCCACGUGUGGGAGCUUGCAUGUACCUUAUGAAUAAGCAUCGGCUAACUCCGUG
rnacentral:rRNA from 1 species